AGUACUUUAGACCAAACAAAAUCAGUAGUAAACUGAACUAACUCCAAAAAUUGAAGGUUUAUCUUGCAUUUCUUUAAUCACAUUUUAAUAUACAAUUUUUUUUUUCAUUUAGAGUAUUCUUUUUGAAAAAAAAAUCCGUAUUUUAUGAACAUCUAAGAGUGAAGAAUCACAUAGUGUUUUCCAAACCUCUUAAAAUCAUUGAGACCAAUUCCAUCAUCAAUCACCGAGACCGAUUCCUCCUAAAAUCUAAUCCAUUCAAUGUUGUAUCUUCUUGGAUUUUUUGCGUUGCACAAUAUUCGCUUCUCAUCACUAUCGUAUUACACCAUCAUCGCUUCUCAAAAUUUUGGUAAGUAAUCCUCUGAUUCGCUAUUUGUUUAAGUUGGUUUCCGAUGUAUUGAAUUUUAUACUAUUUCUCUUAAAGAUUGUUAUUGACAUGAUUUGGAUUUCAGUAUUAUGGUGAAACAUGAGAUAAGUAGAUUGAAUAUAUUUUCUAGCCUAGAGCAUGUAUGAUUUAAUGUCUUAGCUGAGAUUACGGUUUACAAAUAUGUAUGUUGUCAGCAGGAAAAGAAAAAAACGAGAGAAACGGGAUAUAGACUUUGUUGUUCCUUAUUUUUGAUAUGCUUAAAAACUUGAUUUUCAAGAGAGUGCAUUUGUGAAGAGAAUAAAUGGAAGAUAUUUUCGUUAAGUUUUUGGUGACUGCAUCUCUCAUGGAUUGCAAAUCAAAGAAGGAAGUUGCAAAAAUAUUUUGGGUGUGAAAUGAUGGAAGAGUUGAGAGGUUUAAGAUUAUACAUGAGUUUAAUAAGUUAGUUCUAAAGGAUGUAGAGGAAAAGCUUUUCCAAAAAAAAAAAUUCUUAAAGGCUUGUUGUAGAGAAGAAAAUGAGUAGUUUAUGAGUGGAGAAAGGUUUGAUGCGGAAUCGAGAAAUUGAGCCGAUAUUAUUGAGGUUUUGGGGUUGAAAGGUUUGUUAAGUGAAAUUUGGUUCUUUGGGUAUUUUGAAUCCGGCAAAAGUUUGAUGAGUUUUCACGAUGGUAUGAGAGCUCCGUGGAACAUAAGAAUUUCAGUUUACCAGAAUGAUUUGAUGUCCUUACUCUCUCCCCAAACCUACAAUACUUUCUGAAUGAUCAGGGUCACAAAGGAAAGUUAGAGAUCACAACUUAUUCAGAAAGAUUCAUAGAUAAAAUUUUAUUCUUUUGCUUAAUACUUAAUGGAAACAUAUUGCUUAUUUUGUGUGAUCAUGGUCUUUGAAAUUUGAUUUUUCAGUGAAAUUAGUAUUUAAACCUAUAGCAGAUAAAACUAUAAUUGCGGGCAUAAUCUACUGGGAUCAUGCUUACUUGGAUGAAAACCAUGAAGCUUGUACCAUGUUAAUUAUUUCAGGUGAUGCAGAUGGUUAGAAAGCUAGGGUUCACUGUGAUUCUCGCAGGGCCUGAGGAUUCUAUCAUAGCAUAAAAAGUUGAAGAAAUUGUUUAUGCUACUUAUUGUUGGGAAAACAUGAUUUGGCUGCAUUCAAGAUGAAGUUGUUUGAGGUAAGCAUUGUUUCUUCUUUAUACGAAAUGUAUAGUUUUGAGGAGAAUUUAUGUUAGAAGUAAGUAAGUGGGGUAUGCAUUUGCUACAAUAUUUUGUGAUUAUUGAGUAAUAGUUUGGUAAUCAAUUGUGAGGAAAACUUAUUUUGUUUGCAGAACUAGUCCAUUGCUAGUGCAAUCUUUGUCUACAUCCGACUCAUAUUUUGUAUAACACUUGGAUCCUUUAGUACCCGAAGAUAAUAUGAUCCUUAAACCAUCAAACCUUAUAGAAAUCUAUUUUGACAAAAGUAAAAAUUAGCUCAAGUUAAUAAACACCAAUAUAAAAGUAAGCCCAACAUGUGUGAACCAAAUUUGAGAUAGAUUUGGUUCAAAUUAAAGUUAAACCAAAAAUAAAUUAAACUAAAGUCUCUCCAUUGAUAAUCAUUUUAAAACUGAAUGCCAUCAAAUCAAAAUUUGGGUGAUAAUACUUUAGACCAAACCAAAUCGGUAGUAAACCAAAGUUAAAUCCAAAAAUCAGAGGUUUAUCCUACCAUUUUCAAAGUGACAAUUUGAUAUUCAUAUUUUUUUUCAUUUAGAGGGUUCUUUUUGCAAAAAGAAAAAAAUGAAAUCCACUUUUUUUCUGAACACAUAAGAGUGAAGAUUCACACAGUGCUCGCCAAACCUCAUAAAAUCACAUAGACCGAUUUCUCCUAAAAUCUAAUCCUAUCAACACUGUAUCUUCUUGGAUUGUCCGUGUAACACUGUCAUAUUUGACCAUCAUCGCUUCUCAAAAUUUAGUAAAAAUUCUCUGAUUCGCUAUUUUUUUUAAGUUGGUUUGCGCUGUAUUGAAUUUUUAACUAUUUCUCUUCGAAAUUGUUAUUGACAUGAUUUUGGUUUCAGUUUUAUGGUGAAACAUGAGAUAAGUAGAUUGAGGAAAUUUUCUAGCCUAGAGAAUGUCUAAUUCAAUGCAUUUGUUGAGUUUACGGUUUACAAAUAUGUAUCUUCCCAGCAGGAAAAAGAUUAAAUAGAGAAAAUGGAUAUAAACUCUAUUUGAGGAUGAUUUUUGUUAGAAGUAAGUAAGUGGAGUAUACAUUUGAUAGAUAUUUUGUGAUUAUUGAAUAACAGUUCAGUAUGAAUUCUGUGGAAAAUUGAUUCUGUUUGCAGCAGUACUAGUAAUGUGAUAUUGGGUUCAUAUGUGAAGCUAUGGACAUGGAAGACAUUCAGAAAUUGACCCAAGAUAUUAGCUAAUAUGUCAAACCUAUUUUUAUCAAGUUACAAGACCAAGAAGAUUCAAAAUCAAAUGGUUUCUUUGCUGUCCAAAGAGAGUGACGAAAAUUAGGUGGUUAAUUGCAUGAAAAGCUUCUCUCUCCUCGAUGCAAAGAAUGCUUGUUUAAAGAACACUCUCUCUCAUCCAUGCACUAGUUUUAUCAUUUCCAAUGUAAUAACUAUCUAGCUUUGUGAGCAAGUUUAGUCUCUUAUAAAUAAGUUGUAAUCUCCAUUGAAAUAAAAUAAGUUUUGAGUGAUUAUUUUUGGAACCUUGAGAGUGAUUCUCACUUUUCUUUCAAUGGUGUGUAAUAUCCAUUGAUCUUUUCGAUCCGUCUUGGUGCGUCAUAUCUAAGUGAUCAAACCGAUUCGUCCUGGUGCGUCGUAUCCAGGGAAUCAUUCUCAUUGUCGUCUAGGUGCGUCAUAUCCUAGGGCAUUGAGUUGGAAUAUCGGAGGCCUUCCGCAUCCUUCGUGCGAGCAUUAAUAUAUAUUUUCUAACCAGAGUAACAUUUCAAAACACACACACUCUACCUUACCAACUAUAGAGGGUUUAUUACCAAUAAGGCUCAUUUUAUAUUGGAAUUUUUUUUUGAUUUUUACAAUGACAUUAAAUAUGCAAAGCUAAGAAAGAACAUAAGAUUCUCAUAACAAAAACAACAAUUCCAACGAAUAAGACAAAAAUCUUCUGAAUCCCCCAAAUUGUCUUUUGCCAUUCUCCCUCAACGAGACAAGUUUCUCUUGGAACUUCCUGAGAUUCUUCAAGAUUCCAACUUCGGUUUUUUAACCCGGAUCCUCGAAAGAGCAGUGAUUGUUUCACUCAAUGGGAAAAUAAAUCUGAGCUAUCACGGAUUUGUGUACUUUUAAACCCAAAGAUUCUUGGAACAUAUUAAGCUCUGAGUCAGUUUCUGCGGCUUUAAGUUCCCAUAACUCACAAAUAACAAAUGAGGGAAUGUUGUUCCAAAGUAAGCUCCAUCAAUAUCUGCAACAACAUUCAUUUACAGAAACAAAAACACACUAAGAUACAAUCGUGCCAUUUACGCAAAGGAUACUACUUACUGCCUUCGUUUUUAGAUAGCGGGUAAGAUAUAUCUUCGCAUUUCGGGCCACAGUACUCGAUCUCAGUUCCAAGUGGAAGACAAGAUUGUCCGCAACAGAUCCGAAACCACAAUUACUUCUCUGUCUACUAACAGAAUAGACCAAACUUGUUAACCAAACGACAAAAUCUAUAAUAUAAUGAGGGAGUUUCUCUCCUCCUGAGGUGACACGUCAUCACUUUUUAAAGGGGCCGAAUUUAUUUUCGUAUAACACUUACGUUGCCCUGGCUAUAACAACUAAAAUCUACUUGGCCCAGUGGUAUAACCCGUUCAUAGUAAUGCUUGAGUGUACGGGUUCGAAUCCCCCUGGCUUCCUCUUUAAUUUUUUUUUCUAAUAUAACUUCAUCCACGUUUCAAGACUCCUUAAGCUAUCCACGUAGGCAAGCAUGUGGUACCCACUUCUAUUAUUUUUUUUAAAUAUCCAGUUAUCAAAUUGUCGCGUUAUGGGUGUGAUCCGUGUUUUGGGUUUCUUUCAUGGGAUUCUCCGGCCCGCUACCGUCUUCCUAUGCGUCGCCUUUGGCUGAUUAGGGUUACCGUCUCCUUCGAGAUCCUUCGUUUGAGGGCGCUUCCUCUUCCACUAGAGUUCAGUUUUCUUAUGAACUCCAAUAAUCUAUUGUCUCGAAAAAAUAGAAGUCGAUCGAGUAUCUUCCCUGCAAAGGAGUGUCAACAAGCGAUGGAUGAGCAAGGUUCUUCCGAAGGUUAAGAUCCCUCAUUGGCUAAAUCAUCUAUCUUCCAUGGUAAAUACUUAAGCGAUUAUCUAAACAGUUAUUUGGCUAUCUCUUUUAUCUUUUUGAAUUGAUUCAAGACGAAACCUGGUUUACAAGAUCUGUGACUCUGUUUUGAGUACUCUCAAAGUCUCGUCGUGAAAAUAAAGAAAAAAAUGAAGCUUGUAUAGGAAAAAUAAGUUGAGAUAUUUGAAUGCUGAAACUCCAUGGCUGUCGCAAGCUGAAACUGAAGCUGGUAAUCUGGAAGAGAACCACAUCUCCAUGGCUUUCUCAAGCCUUUUGUUUCCCAUUCCUCGAACAGAAGAGACUCUUUUUCUAAUCUGUUAAUUUGGCUCUUUUUAUAUUUAAUUUUUUUUAUUAUCAUCUUUUUAUUGUCUCACGUAGAAGAUGAUAAUCAGAGCUUAGCUCUUUCCUACAUCGGCUCUUCAACACAGGUCCCAAAGCUUAGCUAUUUCCUACAUCGGCUCUUCUACACAGGUCACCAACUGUUGCUGUGAUAGAGGAGGGACCACGCGAGCAAAGGAAUCAGUUAUUUUCUGUUUUAGGGUCUCUCACUGAUCCAGAAGAAGAAGAAUCAAAGGACUCCUCAGAGGGACAGGUUGCUUCGUAGAUAUUAAACUACCAAGAAGAAGAAGUUUGCAAGUGGAGUUGAGUUGCAACUCACUAGAAGAGAAAUGUUUAAAAACUGGGAGAGCGUUGGCCUUCCGAAGAAGAUACCAAGUUUAUUUUCACUAUGAAGACGCUUCAUCCCGAAUCUCUCAAAGAAUCAAGUAAUGCAUGAAAGUAGAAUUUAAAUAGGUGGUGCGGUGACACGAAGAGACUGUCAAAUUUUACCAUUCGCACGUUCACUUUCGUUAUACGCAAAACCAAUGGUCAUGGCAGAUGAAGACGACUUCGAACUUGGGGUCUUUCAUUAUAUCACUUUCGUUUACGCAAAAUCAAUAUGUUUGAUAGACUAAUUUUUAUAAAUAAAUGAUAAAAAUCGAUUUUAAAAA